CAUCCGCCGUAGCGUGUACGCUCAAACGGGGGCACAGCACAAACCUGCAUCUCAGCUAGGUAUUCCAUCACAAAGUUUCUCUUCAGUGAACAGAAAUUCAAACUAUUCAGCACCCCUUCCUUUACAUGACCUACUUUCAAUCUGACACAAUGCAACGUGCUCAGAGAGGACAAUGUUAUCCUUGGCUCUAACGUGUCAAAACAUGAGUCUUGAGAACUUGUGUCUAAAGAGGUGGUGUCACUUUCUUGACAACAGAGCAGAGAUCAAACAUCCUGUGAUUUGUCAGUUUCCUGGGACAUCAUUCAGUGACCCACUCAGUCUUCUUCAAUCAACCAUUGUUAUGUUCUGGAAAGUGCUAAGAUAUGAAUCCAGAGAACCAGAAGCAGUGCUUAUAAGCUUGGGAGACUGUAACUCUGAAUGGCUUAGAGCUCAUCUUUCUUGGCCAAAUAAAAGAUUUCUUGAGAAAUUUCAACUGAGCAUUUUGUGGCUGUUGAAUGUGUAACAGGAAAUAUUUUGAUCUGAGUAUGAAGAACAUUUUUGUUUUCUCUUAUUUGCAUGUAGACUGGGGAAAUUGCGGAGCUCUUUCCCUUGAAGGCAAG
rnacentral:lncRNA from 1 species